rnacentral:snoRNA from 1 species
CAAUUAAUGAUAAAUAUUGUAAAAAGUGCGAAAAUAAAGUACAGAAUAUCU